rnacentral:rRNA from 1 species
GACGAACGCUGGCGGCGUGCCUAAUACAUGCAAGUCGAACGAGAGCGACCGGUGCUUGCACUGGUCAAUCUAGUGGCGAACGGGUGAGUAACACGUGGGUAACCUGCCCAUCAGAGGGGGAUAACAUCCGGAAACGGAUGCUAAAACCGCAUAGGUCUUCGAGCCGCAUGGCUUGAAGAGGAAAAGAGGCGCAAGCUUCUGCUGAUGGAUGGACCCGCGGUGCAUUAGCUAGUUGGUGAGGUAACGGCUCACCAAGGCCGUGAUGCAUAGCCGACCUGAGAGAGUGAUCGGCCACAUUGGGACUGAGACACGGCCCAAACUCCUACGGGAGGCAGCAGUAGGGAAUCUUCCGCAAUGGACGCAAGUCUGACGGAGCAACGCCGCGUGAGUGAAGAAGGUUUUCGGAUCGUAAAACUCUGUUGUUAGAGAAGAACAAGUGCUAGAGUAACUGUUAGCGCCUUGACGGUAUCUAACCAGAAAGCCACGGCUAACUACGUG